UUCCACAAGGGGAGCUGCAAACUGCGCGGCUGAGAGUGAACGGCUUUGUUCUAACCCUUUGAACCUGUUAGUUAACGCUAGCGUAGGGAUGUGGUUAUUUU
rnacentral:ncRNA from 1 species